CCUCCUUUGUGCCGCCGUGGGGAAUAUUGGGCAAUGGGCGCAAGCCUGACCCAGCAACGCCGCGUGAAGGAAGAAGGCUUUCGGGUUGUAAACUUCUUUUGUCAGGGACGAAGCAAGUGACGGUACCUGACGAAUAAGCCACGGCUAACUACGUGCCAGCAGCCGCGGUAAUACGUAGGUGGCAAGCGUUAUCCGGAUUUACUGGGUGUAAAGGGCGUGUAGGCGGGACUGCAAGUCAGAUGUGAAAACCACGGGCUCAACCUGUGGCCUGCAUUUGAAACUGUAGUUCUUGAGUACUGGAGAGGCAGACGGAAUUCCUAGUGUAGCGGUGAAAUGCGUAGAUAUUAGGAGGAACACCAGUGGCGAAGGCGGUCUGCUGGACAGCAACUGACGCUGAGGCGCGAAAGCGUGGGGAGCAAACAGGAUUAGAUACCCUAGUAGUC
rnacentral:rRNA from 1 species